GUAGGGUGCAAGCGUUAAUCGGAAUUACUGGGCGUAAAGCGUGUGCAGGCGGUUCGCUAAGACCGAUGUGAAAUCCCCGGGCUUAACCUGGGAACUGCAUUGGUGACUGGCGGGCUAGAGUAUGGCAGAGGGGGGUAGAAUUCCACGUGUAGCAGUGAAAUGCGUAGAGAUGUGGAGGAAUACCGAUGGCGAAGGCAGCCCCCUGGGCCAAUACUGACGCUCAUGCACGAAAGCGUGGGGAGCAAACAGG
rnacentral:rRNA from 1 species